ACACCGGCAGCUCAAGUGGUAGCCGCUUUUAUUGGGCCUAAAGCGUCCGUAGCCGGUCUGAUAAGUCUCUGGUGAAAUCCCACAGCUUAACUGUGGGAAUUGCUGGAGAUACUAUCAUGACUCGAGGUCGGGAGAGGCUGGAGGUACUCCCAGGGUAGGGGUGAAAUCCUGUAAUCCUGGGAGGACCACCUGUGGCGAAGGCGUCCAGCUGGAACGAACCUGACGGGGAGGGACGAAAGCCAGGGGCGCGAACCGGAUUAGAUACCCGGGUAGUCCUGGCCGUAAACGAUGUGGACUUGGUGUUGGGAUGGCUUCGAGCUGCCCCAGUGCCGAAGGGAAGCUGUUAAGUCCACCGCCUGGGAAGUACGGCCGCAAGGCUGAAACUUAAAGGAAUUGGCGGGG
rnacentral:rRNA from 1 species